UACGGAGGGUGCGAGCGUUGUCCGGAAUCACUGGGCGUAAAGGGCGCGUAGGCGGCGCGGGUAGUCGUCGGUGAAAGCUCAGGGCUCAACCCUGAGUCGGCCGGUGAUACUCCCGUGCUCGAGCACUGUAGAGGCAGGUGGAAUUCCGGGUGUAGCGGUGGAAUGCGUAGAGAUCCGGAAGAACACCGGUGGCGAAGGCGGCCUGCUGGGCAGUUGCUGACACUGAGGCGCGACAGCGUGGGGAGCAAACAGG
rnacentral:rRNA from 1 species